rnacentral:sRNA from 1 species
CCAAGCAAAAUCUGGUGGUUACGAAGC